AACGAACGCUGGCGGCAUGCCUUACACAUGCAAGUCGAACGGUAACAGGUCUUCGGAUGCUGACGAGUGGCGAACGGGUGAGUAAUACAUCGGAACGUGCCUAGUAGUGGGGGAUAACUACUCGAAAGAGUGGCUAAUACCGCAUGAGAUCUACGGAUGAAAGCAGGGGAUCGCAAGACCUUGUGCUACUAGAGCGGCCGAUGGCAGAUUAGGUGGUUGGUGGGAUAAAAGCUUACCAAGCCGACGAUCUGUAGCUGGUCUGAGAGGACGAUCAGCCACACUGGGACUGAGACACGGCCCAGACUCCUACGGGAGGCAGCAGUGGGGAAUUUUGGACAAUGGGCGCAAGCCUGAUCCAGCGAUGCCGCGUGCAGGAUGAAGGCCUUCGGGUUGUAAACUGCUUUUGUACGGAACGAAAAGCCCUGGGUUAAUACCCUGGGGUCAUGACGGUACCGUAAGAAUAAGCACCGGCUAACUACGUGCCAGCCGCCGCAGUAACAC
rnacentral:rRNA from 1 species